GGGUGUAUGGCUCAGUGGUAGAGCGCUUACCUAAUGUGUAAGGCCCUGGGUUUGAUCCUCAGCAUAACAA
rnacentral:tRNA from 1 species